AAAUUAUUAUGGGUUU
rnacentral:rRNA from 1 species